rnacentral:rRNA from 1 species
GAUGAACGCUGGCGGCGUGCCUAAUACAUGCAAGUCGAGCGAACAGACGAGGAGCUUGCUCCUCUGACGUUAGCGGCGGACGGGUGAGUAACACGUGGAUAACCUACCUAUAAGACUGGGAUAACUUCGGGAAACCGGAGCUAAUACCGGAGAAUAUAUUGAACCGCAUGGUUCAAUAGUGAAAGACGGUUUUGCUGUCACUUAUAGAUGGAUCCGCGCCGCAUUAGCUAGUUGGUAAGGUAACGGCUUACCAAGGCAACGAUGCGUAGCCGACCUGAGAGGGUGGUCGCCCACACUGGAAGUGGGACACGGUCCAGACUCCUACGGGAGGCAGCAGUAGGGAAUCUUCCGCAAUGGGCGAAAGCCUGACGGAGCAACGCCGCGUGAGUGAUGAAGGUCUUCGGAUCGUAAAACUCUGUUAUUAGGGAAGAACAAAUGUGUAAGUAACUAUGCACGUCUUGACGGUACCUAAUCAGAAAGCCACGGCUAACUACGUG